CUGGGCAAGAAUACGAGGUGUGUGAGCGAAGAAGAUGCCAUGGCCGGGCAUUUUUUCCGUACCUUCGUGAGCCAUCGCUAGGACAAGGAUGGCGAGGAGGACGAGAGCCGCCAUGGGGGAGGAAGAACGAAGGGGAUUGGGGGAUUGGAUCAAGCGAAACGCGAUCUCUUCUUCCUCUCUUCGCAGUGCGUGCGUGACGUGAGAGCGAGACAGGGACGGAAAUGAAAAGAGAACGAUGGGCUUCACGAGAGAUGAACCGCAGCGCCAAAGAAUCCCUUCUUUUGCUACCUGGACGCUCGCUCUCUCUCUCUCGCUCUCGCUCACUCGCGGUCGCGGCUCGAGAGCUCUUUCUUCCUCCACUCUGCCGGCCAAACCAGGUAAUCUCGUUUUCGUCUUCCGUCUCACUUUGAAUCACACCUCUCAGUCAAACUAUGCUUGCGCCCGCAAGAGCUGAUCAGAGAGCAAAGCUAGCUACAAGGAAACAAGCGGAAGGACGGGCCGGGGUUAGCUGAAGCUGGAUAGAAACAACGGGAAAGACAAGGGACAACGAGCAAGAAGGCAAGUUCCUCUUUUUUAUCUUUUCUUUUGCGUGGGCUUCUCUGUUUGUGUUUUUCCUUGCGCUUUUUAUUCCUCUAUUCGCUUUUGUUUGCACUCUUUGGUCUUGCGACUUUCGAUUGAAUUGUCCGCGCCAGUAGCAGCAGCAGUCGCUGCAGUAUCAAUCGACCGUCAAGCAGUUUUUACCGCCGUACUAUGGCGACGACAGCUCAAGGUCUGCGCAGGCAAAUGAAUUGGAGAGACGCAAUCCAUGAGCAUCAGCAAGGGCCAAGCGAACAGAUAUCUUAUAAUGCUGGUGGUGCUUGGCGAGACUGUCUCCUCUCCUCCUAAAGCUGCAAGCCAGGCUCGGAUCCCAUGGAUCGAACUUGGUAGAAGACGGGAGUUCUUUGUGGAUUGCUGAUUUGUUUAUGCCUUUCUUUGGUGGGUGCUGCAGGAUCGAGGAGUCUAAAAGAUGAAAGGAAAGGGAAAGGUAUGAGAAGGGCCACAUUAGCUACAUGCGCGCACACGGUGGGUCAGACUGUUUCUCAGAUCUUUGCAUGGGGUGUUCCUUCUGUAAAGUGUUUGGUCAAACAGGGCAAGGACAGGACAAAGAAGAAAUCCAAAAGUUUGAAGAGACUGGAGUAAGACGAAACCCAGAGCAUUCAAUGAAACAAGUUGGAAUGGUGAAUGGUAAAGUAGGAAACACAAUAGAUGAAUUCCUGGUGAUGUUGAAAUAUUCAAUAAACUUCAUAUUUAAUAUUA